AUGCAGAUGGAAGAUCUGGGGAAGGAGGAGGGUGAUGGCUGUGGUCCGUCGCCAUCGCCAGAGAGGAGCUUCGAUCCUGAGCACCGGAGGGAGGAGGUCAGGGGCGUCACUUCGGUCGACGGCACCUGUUGUUCACUCGUAUCGCUCCAGACGGGGGUUUUCUUUCUGAUCUCUGGGGUCGUGGCGUUUCUUCCCGUGGAAACGACGUGGGUCGGGCAGGGCUACCUCCCGUACAGAUGCAUCCAAAUGUCACGGUGGGUCUCCCGGGGCCAACUCAGCCCGAGGUUCUCUGGCCCGGGGAAAUAG
rnacentral:rRNA from 1 species